GCUCUGCAGUCGAGCGGGGGAGGUAGCUUGCUACCGGACCUAGCGGCGGACGGGUGAGUAAUGCUUAGGAAUCUGCCUAUUAGUGGGGGACAACAUCUCGAAAGGGAUGCUAAUACCGCAUACGUCCUACGGGAGAAAGCAGGGGAUCUUCGGACCUUGCGCUAAUAGAUGAGCCUAAGUCGGAUUAGCUAGUUGGUGGGGUAAAGGCCUACCAAGGCGACGAUCUGUAGCGGGUCUGAGAGGAUGAUCCGCCACACUGGGACUGAGACACGGCCCAGACUCCUACGGGAGGCAGCAGUGGGGAAUAUUGGACAAUGGGGGGAACCCUGAUCCAGCCAUGCCGCGUGUGUGAAGAAGGCCUUAUGGUUGUAAAGCACUUUAAGCGAGGAGGAGGCUACUCUAGUUAAUACCUAGAGAUAGUGGACGUUACUCGCAGAAUAAGCACCGGCUAACUCUGUGCCAGCAGCCGCGGUAAUACAGAGGGUGCGAGCGUUAAUCGGAUUUACUGGGCGUAAAGCGUGCGUAGGCGGCUUAUUAAGUCGGAUGUGAAAUCCCCGAGCUUAACUUGGGAAUUGCAUUCGAUACUGGUGAGCUAGAGUAUGGGAGAGGAUGGUAGAAUUCCAGGUGUAGCGGUGAAAUGCGUAGAGAUCUGGAGGAAUACCGAUGGCGAAGGCAGCCAUCUGGCCUAAUACUGACGCUGAGGUACGAAAGCAUGGGGAGCAAACAGGAUUAGAUACCCUGGUAGUCCAUGCCGUAAACGAUGUCUACUAGCCGUUGGGGCCUUUGAGGCUUUAGUGGCGCAGCUAACGCGAUAAGUAGACCGCCUGGGGAGUACGGUCGCAAGACUAAAACUCAAAUGAAUUGACGGGGGCCCGCACAAGCGGUGGAGCAUGUGGUUUAAUUCGAUGCAACGCGAAGAACCUUACCUGGCCUUGACAUACUAGAAACUUUCCAGAGAUGGAUUGCCUUCGGGAAUCUAGAUACAGGUGCUGCAUGGCUGUCGUC
rnacentral:rRNA from 1 species